GACAGAGGGGGCAAGCGUUGCUCGGAAUUACUGGGCGUAAAGGGCGCGUAGGCGGGGUGGCAAGUCGGUCGUGAAAUCCCUCGGCUCAACCGAGGAACGUCGAUCGAUACUGCUGUUCUUGAGGAUUGCAGAGGAGACUGGAAUUCCCGGUGUAGCGGUGAAAUGUGUAGAGAUCGGGAGGAACACCGGUGGCGAAGGCGGGUCUCUGGGUCAAGAUUGACGCUCAUGCACGAAAGCGUGGGGAGCAAACAGG
rnacentral:rRNA from 1 species